UUUGUACUCCCUCCGUCUAAAAAUAUUUAUCGGAGAAAUGGACGUAUCUAGACAUAUUUUAAAUUUAGAUACGUCCAUUUUUAUCUAUUUCUCCGACAAGUAUUUCCGGACGGAGGGAGUAUUUG
rfam:Triticum aestivum genome assembly, contig: Triticum_aestivum_CS42_TGACv1_scaffold_031018_1BL